CCAGACAGGGCACUGUCUGUGGCCCCAGGGGUUGAGGACCCCUGGCUUUAACAACAGAAAGACCCCAGUUACUGGAUUGGGAUCCACCCUCACUCAAUAUGGCCUCAGCUUAAUGAAAGACAUCUGCAGAGACCCUAUUUCUACUAAAAGCCACAUUCUGAGACUUCUCGUGGGCGAAGGAAAUACCUCAGGCUCUCGUUCUGUUGCCCAGGCUGGAGUUCAGUGGCAUGAUCUUGGCUCACUGCAGCCUCGAACUCACAGGCUUAGGUGAUCCUCCCACCUCAGCCUCCUCAGUAGCUGGGACUACAGAGCCAUCCCCAGUGCAGGACAUGCUAUUGACUUCCAUGAGACAAACACCUACUUGGAAAUCAGGUUUUUUCUGUACCUUUUGAAGGAGCAGGAAUUUCCCAGCAUUUCCUGGACAAAGACGGAGAAGAGAAUUCUGGUCCUUUUCCCCUGGGAUUGAGGUCUCCUGGGCUCAGUCUGCAGUGGGAAACCCGGCCACAUUCGCUGCAUCCUUUCCAGCAAGAUGUCAUUCUGAGAUUUUUGUCAUUCCUGGGCGUUAUGAGGACUGCCAAGGGACACAAUUCCAUGGGAGGAAAGUUUUCUUCUAAGCUGCAAGCCAGCUCUGGCUUCUGGAGUUUCUCCUUAGGAUUGCAAGACAGUAGUUCCCUGUCCUUUAGGUCUUCUCCAGAAAUACCUUAAAAUAGCAAAUAAAAUAAGAUAUAAGCAAA
ensembl:lncRNA SCAT1 S-phase cancer associated transcript 1